rnacentral:sRNA from 1 species
GGCUUUCCCCGAGGGGCUCUGGAGCAGAAAGAGCUGUCUCAAGGAGACGCAGAGAGAUGGUCUCGGGCGUGCGCCUUCAGCGCGACCAGCAGGGAUUCCUCGUCCACACAGUUUCCUGACAGCGGUUGAAAGGGACGGGUCUACACAGGCCAAGAACAGCAGCGGAGUGUGGGGUCAGGAGCCCAGCGGGGGGCACCCCCGGGAGGGGCCGCCUCCGCCAGACCCACCCCGGGUGAAAGGACGCAUUGUGUGCCCGCAGCAUGAGGGGAGCCUGCAGAGAGGCGUCUUUGUAGGGUCCACGAGGGGGAAAGCGCUUCCCGGCAGGCGGAGCACACAAGCCAGCCGGUGGCCACGGCCGGGGACAGGCUUGUACGCAGGACAUUGAGGUCUGGCGAGGAUGGGGGGGCCACCAGGCCCCCGGCCCUUUGCAGAGUGUUGCUCGUUUUCUCCCACCCCA